CCUACGGGUGGCAGCAGUGAGGAAUAUUGGUCAAUGGACGGGAGCCUGAACCAGCCAAGUAGCGUGAAGGAUGACGGCCCUAUGUGUUGUAAACUUCUUUUAUACGGGAAUAAAAUGUUCCACGUGUGGGGUUUUGUAUGUACCAUAUGAAUAAGGAUCGGCUAACUCCGUGCCAGCAGCCGCGGUAAUACGGAGGAUCCGAGCGUUAUCCGGAUUUAUUGGGUUUAAAGGGAGCGUAGGUGGCUUGUCAAGUCAGCUGUGAAAGUUUGAGGCUCUACCGGAGACUUGCAGUUGAAACUGGCGUGCUUGAGUACGGUAGAGGUGGGCGGAAUUCGUGGUGUAGCGGUGAAAUGCUUAGAUAUCACGAAGAACCCCGAUUGCGAAGGCAGCUCACUGGACUGCAACUGACGCCGAGGCUCGAAAGUGUGGGUAUCAAACAGGAUUAGAUACCCUGGUAGUC
rnacentral:rRNA from 1 species